rnacentral:rRNA from 1 species
AUUGAACGCUGGCGGCAGGCCUAACACAUGCAAGUCGAGCGAGCGGCGGACGGGUGAGUAAUGUCUGGGAAACUGCCUGAUGGAGGGGGAUAACUACUGGAAACGGUAGCUAAUACCGCAUACCAUCAGAUGUGCCAAGAUGGGAUUAGCUAGUAGGUGGUGUAACGGCUCACCUAGGCGAGGAUCCCUAGCUGGUGUGAGCGGAUGACCAGCCCCCAUGGACCUGAGACACGGUCCAGACUCCUACGGGAGGCAGCAGUGGGGAAUAUUGCACAAUGGGCGCAAGACUGAUGCAGCCAUGCCGCGUGUGUGAAGAAGGCCUUCGGGUUGUAAAGCACUUUCGGCGGGGAGGCGUUACCCGCAGAAGAAGCACCGGCUAACUCCGUGCCAGCAGCCGCGGUAAUUC